rnacentral:rRNA from 1 species
UAAAUUUGACAUCCUCGACCUGCCAUCCAACGAACGUUCGCCGGUUAAGCGGGUCCUUUUCCAUGGCCCUCUUCCCACUACCCCCGGUCUGCGGCCGUCAACGCCAACCGCCGGCGCGAGCUUGCGACUUCCCCUCCUCCCGCUGCGUCGGCCUCCACCUCCGUACCUACUCCCCGGGUACCACCUCCCUCCUCUCUUUGGCCGCGGCGCCGCCUCCGCCAUAGUCCCUCUCCCCGGCCGCCGCUUGCACUGGAUAAGCAGGGUCCGGCUCGUCGGGGCCCAAAUCCGGCCGGCGGAGCGCCGUUCUGGCCGGAUUGAUCCUUUUAGCUGACGCCGGGAGGACCAACCAAUCGACCUCCCGCGCGCCGUCCUGUGCCGGUGCCGGUGCCCUCGCAAGCAAGGCCGCGACCAGGGCUAGCCGUGGCCCUCGUCGUCUCCUGUGCCGGUGCGACUCGCAAGCAAGGCCGCGACCAGAAGCACGUCCGGCGGAGGCAUCUACUCCACUGGCGCGAAACGCUGAAACUUCAGCUGUAAUCGCUCUCCAGGCUUUCGACAUGGAAAAUGCCUGCACAAACCUCAACCAGGUGGCCCGCGCGGUGCGCCUGCUCAAGAUCGAUGGGUUCAGCCUGACCGCGGGCAUGGGCGGCGACUACUGCCUCAAGUCCAUAUGGACUGUCGAUGGGUAUGAGCUGGAGGUCCUUAUCUAUCCGGGCACCACAUGGGUGGCUCUGAAACUCGUCUUUCUCAGCGAAGCCCGCACACAGUGGGGCGUGAGGGCGAGCAUGGCCUGUCAGCUCGUAGAUCUCAGCAGGGAGCUUGAGCCGUAUCACGAGUAUGGCGUGUCAGAGACCUUCUAUCAUCCCCAAGACUUCGGGGCAUUGGUCUUCAUGGACAGAAAUAAGAUACCAUCUGGUUAUAUCAAGGAUGAUAUGUUGACCCUGCGAUGCGCGAUCACGGUACUCAAGGAAUUACCAGCACCAACCAUCCCAGCUGAAGAAGUGAUCACCCAACCUUCCACCAACUUGCACCAGCACCUUGGCGAACUCCUGCAGAGCGAGAUGGGAGCCGAUGUCACGUUUCUUGUGUCUUAUGAGUCGUUUGCUGCACACAAGUACAUACUUGCCGCAAGGUCUCCGGUUUUCAAGGCCCAGUUCUUCGGAGACAUGAAGGAGAAGUGCUCGGCACGCGUGGAGAUCAAGGAUAUGGAGGUGGCGGCGUUCAGGGCCAUGCUCCACUUUAUUUACACUGACACGGUGCCUGAGCUUGAUAGACCGCUCGAGGAGGUGACGACGUUGGCUCAACAUUUGCUUGUCGCCGCUGACAUGUAUGGACUUGAGAGGCUCAAGCUGAUUUGUGAAAUAAAGCUCUGUGAUGGCAUCACUGUCGACACCGCAGCGACCACUCUUGCUUUGGCGGAGCAGCACAAUUGCUCCAAGCUCAAGGCCAAAUGUGUCGAGUUUAUCGUCAGCACACCUGCUGUUCUUGAGGCUGUGUUGGCGACAGAUGGGUAUAAGCACCUCGAAGCAAGCUGCCCUUUGGUCCUGACUGAGCUUCUCAAGUCUGUCCAUGUGAGUAAGAGUCCAUGUGUGGUGUAGUAGAACUUAUGUCAGCAUUUACCUAAAAUGGAAAACUUAUGUGCAUCUAUAUAUGUUUUGUUAUGAGCAACUUAACGCUUUCAGUGCUCCUCCAAUUUUGAUGUAACUUAGUACAAUGUCGUCCAAGAUUUGGUUGCAUGUUUAUCAAUAUUAGUACAAGGGGAUAAAUAAAGUUGGAUGAUUCAGAGUGUGUAUAGUUUCGUACAUGAUUUGGUCAGCCGCUGCUACAUAAUCCAGGUCUUCUGUAUCCUGGGAGUUCUUUUGAACAUCUUCAUUCUCACAUCAAAUAAAAUGAUUCCUGUUUAUAGGAAUCAAACCUGAACCAACCUUUUGGUAUCUGGUAUGUAUAAUUGUAUACUUUCCACAACAUCCUGCAAUAUCCUCACGAUUUUGAAAUAUUUGUGGAGCUAUAACGGAGUUAGAUAUUUGAAUAUUCAGUGAUGCCCUUUCUUGGUAUUUUUAAGCAUGCAAGGUUUGUGUCUAUUUUGGUGUCAUGUCCAUGUUUUGGUCCCUCUGUAUCAGGUCCA